CAGUCGCCGCGGGAAUACGAAGGGGGCUAGCGUUGUUCGGAUUUACUGGGCGUAAAGGGCGCGUAGGCGGGCUGAUAAGUCGGGGGUGAAAUCCCAAGGCUCAACCGGGGAGGGUCAUUGGAAACUGGGAAACUUGAGUGCAGAAGAGGAGAGUGGAAUUCCACGUGUAGCGGUGAAAUGCGUAGAGAUGUGGAGGAACACCAGUGGCGAAGGCGACUCUCUGGUCUGUAACUGACGCUGAGGAGCGAAAGCGUGGGGAGCGAACAGGAUUAGAUACCCCCGUAGUCCCUGUCUCUUAUAC
rnacentral:rRNA from 1 species